rnacentral:misc_RNA from 1 species
GAUGAAGAACGUAGCGAAAUGCGAUAAGUAAUGUGAAUUGCAGAAUUCAGUGAAUCAUCGAAUCUUUGAACGCACAUUGCGCCCCCUGGUAUUCCGGGGGGCAUGCCUGUUCGAGCGUCAUUUCACCACUCAAGCCUCGCUUGGUAUUGGGCAACGCGGUCCGCCGCGUGCCUCAAAUCGACCGGCUGGGUCUUCUGUCCCCUAAGCGUUGUGGAAACUAUUCGCUAAAGGGUGUUCGGGAGGCUACGCCGUAAAACAACCCCAUUUCUAAGGUUGACCUCGGAUCAGGUAGGGAUACCCGCUGAACUUAAGCAUAUCAAUAGCGGAGA